AGCAGCCGCGGUAAUUCCAGCUCCAAUAGCGUAUAUUAAAGUUGUUGCAGUUAAAAGCUCGUAGUUGAAUUUCGGGAUUGGCGCAUCGGUCGUGCCUCACGGGGUAUGAACUGGUGCAGUCAAUUUCUCACCUUCUGGAGAACCGCGAUGUCCUUAAUUGGAUGCCGUGGGGAACCAGGACCUUUACUUUGAAAAAAUUAGAGUGUUUAAAGCAGGCAUUUUUGCUUGAAUACAUUAGCAUGGAAUAAUAAAAUAGGACGGCAUGGUUCUAUUUUGUUGGUUUCUAGGACCACCGUAAUGAUUAAUAGGGAUAGUUGGGGGCAUUAGUAUUCAAUUGUCAGAGGUGAAAUUCUUGGAUUUAUUGAAGACUAACUACUGCGAAAGCAUUUGCCAAGGAUGUUUUCAUUAAUCAAGAACGAAAGUUAGGGGAUCGAAGACGAUCAGAUACCGUCGUAGUCUUAACCAUAAACUAUGCCGACUAGGGAUCGGAUGAUGUUAAUUUUUUCAAUGACUCAUUCGG
rnacentral:rRNA from 1 species